rnacentral:hammerhead_ribozyme from 1 species
UUAUCGUCAACAAUUUCAGAUUGUUCUGAUGAGUCCGAUUCAUUCGAAUCCGUAGGACGAAACGAUAA